rnacentral:rRNA from 1 species
CGGCGGACGGGUGAGUAACGCGUGGGUAACCUGCCUCAUACAGGGGGAUAACAGUUAGAAAUGACUGCUAAUACCGCAUAAGACCACGGUACCACAUGGUACAGUGGUAAAAACUCCGGUGGUAUGAGAUGGACCCGCGUCUGAUUAGGUAGUUGGUGGGGUAACGGCCUACCAAGCCGACGAUCAGUAGCCGACCUGAGAGGGUGACCGGCCACAUUGGGACUGAGACACGGCCCAA